UGGUUUUUUGAUUUUGUUCCUGUUGUUGAAGUGGCUGGUUGGUGGUGGUGACUGGUGACUAACUAAAAUCGUCCGUCUUUCGUAAUAGGUUCCAAAAAAUACAUAAAAUAUUGAAAAAUGUACUAUGUUGCGUCUGAAAAGUAGUCUUCUAUGGCUUGUGAUAUUUCGUGAUAUGUGUAUUGUAGGACACAAAUUCAAAGUAGGGUUCAUAAAGAUGUAAUCUAAAUUUUCCGAAUUCCACGUCGAGACAUGGGUUCCAGAGUAAGAGAUACCGUACGCUACUUGUUUGAACUAUUCUGUGAAGUUGCCCCAGGAGAUCAUUCAAAGGAGCCAUAUGUAGUUAGAAAAUACCCAGAAUCAUACAAAAAUGAAGAAGAGUUAAAGAAUAUUCCUAAAUUCACAUUCCCAUGUCAACUAGAAAAUUCAUUUGUUCAACAGUACUCAUUUGUGUUGACAUCUGUGGACUCCAAAUACACAUUUUGUUUUUGCCGCUAUGAUCCAAAAGCAAAUACAGCAUUGGUUCUGUUAUCACAUCUUCCAUGGCAUGAUAUAUUUUAUAAGUUAUUAACUUGUAUAGCUAAUCUUCUAAAUGGGCCAGAGAAGGGAGAGUUGAUAUCAUUUUUAGAAGCAUGCCGAAUAAGACCGCCCAUGCCUGGUCACACCUUGAAAGUCACAUACAAUGCUGGCCACAGUGUUUUUUCUUGCCAAUGUCCGGACGCAAAACUACCAAGUAUUCCUGAAAAUAGCAACCUUACGGAAUACUUUAGUGCCAUGGAUGCAAAGUGUAUGGCGGGUCUUUGGGCUGCAUUACUUCACGAGAGACGGGUAGCAAUCGUUGCUACUAAACCGUCUCGGCUGUCGGCAUGUGUACAGGCAGCUAACACAACACUGUUUCCUAUGUCAUGGCAACACAUAUUCAUUCCAAUAUUGCCAAAACAUUUGGCGGAUUAUUUGUUAGCACCUAUGCCGUUCCUCAUUGGAGUUCCUAGAAAUGUUAUGGAGAAAGUAAGGAUGUCAGAUAUUGGAGAUGUUGUGAUUUUAGAUGUAGAUAACAAUGAACUCAGAACACCCUUUCACGAUUUAGAAAGUCUUCCACCUGAUUUGGUAGCAAGUUUAAAAAAAGCUUUGAGUGAUAAAAAUGCCCUGGGAGAUGCUGUGUCGAGAGCAUUUUUGCGAGCAUUAGUAUGUUUGAUAGGAGGCUAUCGAGAUGCUAUAAAAAUUGAAAAUGGUCAGUUGAUCACAUUCAACCCUGAGGCUUUUGUGAGAACUAGAAAAAACAUGCAGACAUUCCUUAGAAAAAUACUGCAGUCGCAAAUAUUUCAACAGUUUAUUGAUGAACGACUAGAUUUGCUCAAUUCAGGACGAGGUUUCAACGAUGAAUUCGAAGUAGAGUGCAACAAUUACGCCGACAAGCUAAACACAGGCAGUGGCCAAAAGCUGAAACAGCAGUAUAGAGAUUGGGCAAAAACAGUUAAAAAAGAAGGUGGCGCCUUUUUCAAGACUGUCAAGGAUAAGGCGAACCCAGCAGUACAAUCGGCUGUGAAAACGGUUCGACAAGGUGGUAAAAAUAUGAAAUCAGCUGUAAGAGGGCUGAAAAACAAAAUACCACGAACUGGAUCCCGACCAUCUUCAAUUAAUACGACUGAUGAUAGCAGAUUCUCGUGCGGUUCAGCCACGCCUGUGUCAUCAGACUCAUCAUCAGAUUCAUCGCCGUCGCACGACCCACCGCCCCGUGAGGCCCCCCCUGCGUUACCUCUCGACUUGCUCACCGAAAUGGAGUUCCUAUUCUCGAAGAAAAACGCACAACGACGUGAUAGCUUCCCAAAUAGUUCGCACAAUUCAGACGCCAGCUUACAGGAUAAAUCAAAAACACUGUCACCAUGUCUCCCACCUCGGUUACCAGAACGUCCCCAACUCCCACUCCGUUACCCAAUCAUUUCCACGAGGAAACUAAUUGACCUCUCGGAUGCGCCGACCCCGCCGCCGCGGUCGGUCCCACCACCGAACAAUACGCACUUUGUCAGCAACAUCACAAAAAACGAUAUAGCAACGGAGAAAGACUUCCGCACCAGUGCAAUACGAUUCAUAGAAGGCACAGAUAAAGCCAAACUAAAACUUACCAUUUCAUCCAAUCAAAGAAAGGUGCCACAACAGAGUGCGACUUUGCCAUGUAACGGCAACGCGCCUAAAAUAACGGCACCGUCCCUAGGAGUUAGGCAGAACCAAGAUUAUUUACCCAGGGCCACUACUCGACCCACUGUCAACAUAGCUCCGAAAGGGAAAGCUCAAGAGGUAACUGUGAUAUGUGCAUUUGUAAUCAUUUCAAUAUUGUAUCUUAUUAUAAAACAAAAAAUGAUUGCAUACGUACCAUGAACACACCAAGAGUGGAGUUUGUUUGCACUAACACAUGGAAUUUAACUGCGUUACUAUUGUUAAAUAUGUAUCUAUUUAAAUUUAAUUUAUUGUUAAUGAUUAUGGUUUAAUAUAUUUCUAACAUAUACAAGGUUGUCCCUUUAUUCUUCACGAUGUAAUUAUCUACACCUCACUACAACUCGAUCCUUUCUAAGCGUAUCGAUGGAUGUGGUGUUUUGGAAUAAGCUCACAUUUUUAGUCUUAACAUAGUUACAUACCUAGGUACCUAUAAUGUAUAAAGAUUACAGUUGGCGUUAUAAUGGAAGAAAUACUAUUUUAUUUUUAUUAUAAAACUAAGUAAAGCUGCAGACGUGAUGUGAACGUAAAGCUACAAAUAUCACUAGAGAGAUUCGCCACGAUUGAUAUUUAAAAAGUCGUUGGGCUCAGUGUCAGAUCUCAUUAAACUGGAUGAUUCGCCAUCAAGCUUAGAAGAUUUUGAUCCCUUGAUGUGCCGCGAAAAAGACAAAGUUGAACAGAUCAAGUCGUCUACCGACAGUGCUCUCUUACAUGAAUACGGACUUGACUUUAGUCAAUUUGGUUUGUUGGACUCCUACUCGGCCAGUUCUUCUGGCACUCGGCAGGAGGCUAGCUCCAGUGUGCCCAAAGGCUGGACAACAUUUAAUUAAAUGUCAACAAAGUAAGUAAACAAGGAAAUGGCUACUUAUUAAAGAAUCAUUUCAAACCAUGAUACGUAUUUUUAUAUAUUAUUAUAUUAUGUACAUAAAUGACACGUAAUUUUUAUUUGUAUAUUAAUGUUACUAUAGAGACUAUAAAAGUGGACAUUUCUUUGUUUAUAGCUAUUAGGAUGUAGAAUUAUUAAAGGACUGUCGCUGCAACUGCUUUACUCAUUGUAAAAUAAUAUCUGUAUAGUUUGCGUAAUUAUAGUUAUAUUUUUUGUAUAACGCUUUUUUACCUAGUGAUUUUAUUAUUUAUUGAUGAGGUGAUUUUAGUAAUGCUGUUUAUAAAAUACCUAGUAAUUAUUGUAUAUAAUGUUACAUAUCAAUUUAUAUUAAUGUGCAAUGUAUAUGUAUAUGUGUUGUAGAUUUCACUUCUUAUCAGUAAACUAUUCCAAGUAAGUACCUAUUUUGGGAACUUUUUAAUCAUUUCGUUUGAAGUGAUUAGUCGAUUCUAGUUCUUCCCAAAAUUAUGGUUUUGUUUUAUUGUUGUUUAUGGAUGUAACUCAUAUUUAAUCCUCGUUUUGACCUACGUAGAUAUAUUGUAAAUGUAGAUGAAUUUAAUAACACUGCGCUGUGAGCUAUGUUUCGAGUUUAAUCGAAGUACCUGAGCCGAUCUAUUCAUUUAAUUAUACAUUUUCAAACAAAAUAAUUAAAGCGAUGAAUACAAAAGGUGCAUAUUUAUGUAUUCGUUCUCCAAGUUUAACUUUGGUAUAAAAAGUCCAAACAUAGCUCGACAUAGGUAUGUCCCAAAAAUUAUGUCAAGCGGAAGCAAAGAAAUAACACCCAUAACGUUACAUACUCGAAUCAUGCACUUAUGCUCACGGCUAAAUCGUGAACGUCGUACAAAAAACAGUAAUAACAUGGUGGUGAUAGUAGUAGCCCUAAGGAUGUUCUACUUCUUAGCUUGACAUACUUUUUGGUCUCCGUAAAAAUAUUAUUCUCGUAUACUUAUUUGAUAAAUAAAUAUUAUAAAAAGUACAAUUAGAUGUAACAAACAAUGAAAUUAUUUUGUCAACUUUUACCAAAAUAAUUAUUAACUCACAAACACGAAUAUUUAAUCGAAUCAUAUUUUUUCAUAAGGUGCUGUAAUAAGCUUAAGAAUCGGUCGUUCUCUAGUGUCAACAAAUUAUUUAUUUCUAUUUAAUAAUACCAUCAAUACCGUCAAGAAAACAUAUUGUGCAUUGUCUACUACUACAAACAUAUUUAAAAAAAAACUGAUGUGUUGUCAUGAUCCAAAAAAUGUUAAGUAAAUUUGAGGCCAAAUUAAAAGCAUAAGCAGUAAUAAGCACACAUUAAAUGUAGUUUAAUAACAGCGAACACAAAGUAAUAAUUGCGUGUUACUUGCUUGCUUUAGAAGAUCAUCCAUCACUUGUUCUGUAUUAAAUUGAUCAUGUAAUAAUACUGAGAACAAAAAAUAAAGAAUUAUA